UUGUUUUCAGUACUUAUUAUUUCUUUUACACUUGCCUGUAGGUUGUGUUUAAUUACUAAUUAUUUUAUUUUUUAAUUGUGUACAUUACUUACAAUUGGAUAUAUUUUUCUACUGAAUUAUAGUUUUGAAAAAGCAAAUUGCCUGAUUUGUAAUUAACGGCUGGCUGUUUUUUUAAAUAUCAUUUAUAAAGCAACUAAUUGAUUUCAUUUCUUUAUUAAUUAUGCUAAUAAGGCAUAAUUAAGUAUCAUUCUUUUUAGAGAUUGUUCUUAACCUUAUUGAAAUACAUUACAUACUAGCUCAAUAAUAAUGUGUGUGCUAAAUUUCAGGUUAAUUGGAUGCAGCUUUUUGCUUCAUUGUCAUUGUUUUUCUUGGUAUUAAAAUGGCCUCUUUGUUAAUUAAAAUAUGUUAAUUAAAAAAAAACUAUAUUAUAUACAUUUAUUUAAGUAUCAUGAAAUUGCCACAUCUUGAAUGUGUUUAUGCUCAGUUAUAUUUUUCAGGUGAAUUGGUUGUAACAGCCAACUUAUAAUCAUAUGCUUAGAAAAGGCAAUUUUCUUGUUAAUAUGUAAAUUAAUAUGCUAAUUAGGCACAAGGUAAUUAUCUGAGAUAUAUAAAAUUGUUAUGGUUAAAAUGCUUGUGUGCUUAUAAGUAGGUGUGCUAAAUUUCAGGUGAAUCAGUUGGAGCAUUCUAACUUAAAUGAUGUUUAUAUAUUCUAAAAAGCAUUCUAAUUUUAAUGUUAUAAUUAAUAUGCUAAUUACGCGACGGAUUAAUAUACAAGAAUCGUUAAACCGUUAUAGCUUAACUAGUUGUGUGCUAAUUAGUUUAUGUUGUAAAUUUGAAGUCUAUCGGACGAGGCAUUAAGAUUCUAAAGCCAUUAAUGUCACUAAAGAUAUCACAAUCUUGUUAAAAUUUAAUCAAUUAUGCUAAUUAGGUAAAAAGUAAACAUCAGAGAUUAUUUUUUUUAAUGAUUUUUAAAAGCCCAUGUGACAUUUAUUUCAAAUUCCAAGUUUCAUGUUAAUAGCUUAAAUGGUUUUGCUCUUAUGACACAUUAUGUAUAUAUUUGACCUAAAACAAUGGUGCCAUAAUUAAAACAAAGGAUAUAAUAAGAAAUACACUUAGUAUGCGUCUACAAAUGGUGUCAUUUGCGUGUUUUUAAAUGGGCAUAUCUCGAGAAUGAAUUGACAGAUUUUCAAAAUUCAAACAGUUUUUUAAUGCUGGUCCCUAGUUCUUUCAAACUACCAUGAAAAGAACACACUUAGCUUAACUCUAUUUUUUCACCUGAACUGCCUAAUUUGAGGUUUUCAUAAC